AAACAUGGCAGACCUCGUGGAGAGAGUGUUACAAGAAGCAGCAGAAAGAGAGUCUCACUACAAAACUAUAGAGGUUCACAAAGAUAUUGAGUUAGAAAUAGACCCAGGAAACUUGCUGACUGUCGAUACAAAUCCAUUAGAUGCCACAAAGCUAAAAAAGAACAGAGAGGAGUAUUUAAAGAGUUUGGCCAGAGACAACACACAGCUGUUAAUAAACACUCUGUGGCAGCUUCCAACAGAGAAAGUAGAUGAAGCAAUAGUUGUAAAGCUUCCAGAUCCCAAAACACCAAUUCCAAGAGAAAAACCGGUACCCAAAGACAAAGCUUUGACAAAAUGGCAACAAUAUGCCCAGCUGAAAGGAAUUCAAAAGAGAAAGAAGAGUAGAAUGAUGUGGGAUGAUCAGUCAAAGGAAUGGAAACCAAGGUGGGGUUACAAGAGAGGGAAUGACGAUACACAGGAGUGGUGCAUAGAGGUUCCUGAUAAUGCUGGUCUGUAUAGUGCUCUACGUUCUAUGAAGAUCUUUUCUUCAAAAUUGGAAUAUUUUAAAAUAAAAUUACAGAUACCGGUACAUAAUAUCAAAUUGAUGCUCUACAUCAAACUUGUGUCUGUUGCUUUCUUGGAAAUUCUGUUCUUUAAAAUAAGGAUAUAACAUAAAUGAAACUACAGAUAAAUAAUGUUGAUAGCAAUAUUUGAAUUUUUUUCUUCCAGAGGAUCCAAAUGUUGAUCUGUUUGCCAAAAAGAAUAAGGAAAAAAAGGAACGGGUAGCCAAGAAUGAAUUACAAAGGCUGCGUAAUAUUGCAAGGUCACAGAAGUCAAAGGUACCAGGUGUUGGGCUUACCCCGACUGAGGCUCCCAGUAAGGAUUACCUGGGAAAAGCUCUAGCAUUAGCCAGAAAAUCCACAGCCUCCAUAGGAAAAUUUACAGACAAACUCCCCACAGAGAAACCCUCAAAACACACGGGCAAAAAGAGAAAGUUUGAACCCAAUUAUGGUGAUGUUGAAAGGGAGAGCAAGAAACAAUUAAAGAUUCUUAAUCACAUCCAAAACAGGAUACCUAUUGUUAAUACCACAAAGGCUGCUAAUCGCCACAUCAUGGAGGAACAACGGUCAAGAGCAAGGAGAAGACGAGAAGAAGAUGGUGGCAAACAGAAAGGGGGGAAAAAUAAAGGUGGUGGGGGCAAGAAAAAAGGAGGGUUUAAGGCUGGGAAGAAAGGCAAGGCAGGAGGCAAGAAGAGAUGAUUGUUAUUAGAAUUCUAAAUAAAUAUGUUUU
rnacentral:misc_RNA from 1 species